rnacentral:tRNA from 1 species
ACCAGGAUGGCUGAGUGGUUAAGGGGUUAGCCUUAGGAUCUGAUGUCUGUGUGGGUUCAAGCCCUGCUCCUGGUA